UGGUAGAAUUCUCGCCUGCCACGCGGGAGG
rnacentral:piRNA from 5 species